AAACAAAAGGACUAGCCAAGCGCUCGGCAGCCUCCGCCCAGCGCCCUCCCCCACGCCCGCGCCCGCGCCCGCGGCGAUCUUGCCUCCACGUCACCGCCUACCGCCCCCCGCCUCCCGCCUCCCGCCUCCCGCCUCCGCCAGCAGCAUCUAAUGGCGGCGGUCUUAGCGGCGCACGGCUCCCGCGUCUCGGCUUCGAUCAUUGCAGGUUUUGGAAGUGCUCUGAGAGGAAUACCAAAAGGAUUUUGUCCUCGUUUUUACAAUAUCCAAGCAUCAAUAUAUAAUGGACUUGUUCAUAGGAGGAAAAUUCCUCUUCCGUUGAGAUGCUCUUUUCGCUCUAUUCAAGCAAGAAAUAAUCACUCAUCAUCAGCUGUUGUACCUAAAGAUUAUUGUGAAACUUACAUCCAAUUUUUGAGAGACAAGCGGAUAGUUCCUGAUUCAGAUCCUCCAAGUUCUAAGGAUGUGGACCUACUGUACCGGUUUAUAGAUAAGAGUAACAAGCUCAUGGUAUUAACUGGAGCUGGAAUGAGCACCGAGUCAGGAAUUCCCGAUUAUCGGAGUCCUAAUGGAGCAUACAGUUCUGGUUUCAAACCACUUACUCAUCAGGAGUUUGUUCGCUCUAUUCGAGCCCGACGGCGCUACUGGGCUAGGAGUUAUGCAGGAUGGAGAAGGUUCAGGCGAGCACAACCAAAUACAGCUCACUAUGCUCUUGCUUCACUAGAAAGAAUCGGCCGUGUUCACACGAUGGUUACCCAGAAUGUGGAUAGAUUGCAUCAUCGUGCUGGUAGUAAGCCAGUUGAGUUGCAUGGAAGUGUAUAUGAGGUAAUUUGCUUAGAUUGUGGAACAUCCAUCAGCCGAGAGUCAUUCCAAGAACAAGUGAAGGACCUCAACCCAAAGUGGGCUCUAGCUAUUGACAGUUUGGAAGAGGGACAACCUGGCUCGAGCAGAAGUUUUGGUAUGCAGCAGCGACCUGAUGGUGAUAUUGAGAUUGAUGAGAAGUUCUGGGAGCAAGAUUUUGACAUUCCUAGUUGCAGUCAGUGUGGUGGAGUGCUAAAACCUGAUGUUGUGAUGUUUGGUGAUAAUGUUCCGAGAGAGAGAGCUGAUAGCGCUAAGGAGGCUGCAAGAAACUGUGAUGCUCUUCUGGUGGUUGGUUCAGCGGUAAUGACAAUGUCUGCUUUUAGGCUGGCAAGGCUUGCACAUGAAGCAAAUGCUCCAAUCGCCGCGAUUAACAUUGGGGGCACCAGAGCUGAUAGCAUUAUAUCUUUGAAAAUCAAUGCGAGAUGUGGGGAGAUACUUCCUAGAGUACUUCAGAUGGGAAGUCUAGCUGUACCAAGCAUAAGCUGAACAUUUACAGUGUUUGGAGAAAUCAGUUACGAGGGAAGAUGGGUGAGACAUAUAUAAGUAGCUGUAGAUCAUUCUGUAAACAGGUCAGAACUUCAUAUGACCUUCCGGUUUGUGUUAGAGCAUUAUCAUGGUUGUUGUAAGUGUAAAAUCAUUUUUUGUGAUGACUCAUUAGUUUUUUUUUUUUAGAAAAGGAGGAGGACCCCGGCCUAUGCAUCUGG
rnacentral:rRNA from 1 species